GACGAACGCUGGCGGCGUGCUUAACACAUGCAAGUCGAACGGAAAGGCCCUGCUUUUGUGGGGUGCUCGAGUGGCGAACGGGUGAGUAACACGUGAGUAACCUGCCCUUGACUUUGGGAUAACUUCAGGAAACUGGGGCUAAUACCGGAUAGGAGCUCCUGCUGCAUGGUGGGGGUUGGAAAGUUUCGGCGGUUGGGGAUGGACUCGCGGCUUAUCAGCUUGUUGGUGGGGUAGUGGCUUACCAAGGCUUUGACGGGUAGCCGGCGCGAGAGGGUGACCAGCCACAUUGGGACUGAGAUACGGCCCAGACUCCUACGGGAGGCAGCAGUGGGAAAUAUUGCACAAUGAGCGGAAGCCUGAUGCAGCAACGCCGCGUGCGGGAUGGCGGCCUUCGGGUUGUAAACCGCUUUCGCCUGUGACGAAGCGUGAGUGACGGUAAUGGGUAAAGAAGCACCGGCUAACUACGUG
rnacentral:rRNA from 1 species